GUGCAAGCUAAUGCAGCAGCCAAUAGCCCCCACUAAUGCCUACGGAGGGGGAUGGAGCUGGACCGUGCUGCCACACAGGGAUAAUCAGAGCCAGGCAAACAAUGGGUGGCUCCUUGCCCAAAUGUGGGAUGAAGAGGAGGCCCCAGCUCUUCCUACUGGUCUCUGAGAACAGGUGGACCUGGCCCUGUUUGGGUACACAGAAAGGGGAAGACCAACCAAGGGCAGUGCCCCAGUUUGCUAAAGCUGCCUUUAUUAAAAAUUCCAGAAAUGGAUUGGCUUUUAUAAAGGGGAUUUAUUAAGUUACAAGUGUCCAAACAAAGGCAUCAGCAAGA